AACCACUGAGCGACAGGACUACACUACAGGCAGUGAGCACAAUUUUCUGAUACCUGAGCUGCUCUUCAGCUCUUUUGUAGAAGGAUGUUUUUUGCCCGGAAGGAAAGAUGUACUCUGAAGAUAAAUCCACAUGUGUUAGUUCAUGUUGUAGAGACAAUUUAGGAAAUUAAAGAGCUG